rnacentral:rRNA from 1 species
CACGUAGUUAGCCGGUGCUUCUUUACCCAUUACCGUCACUCACGCUUCGUCACAGGCGAAAGCGGUUUGCAACCCGAAGGCCGUCAUCCCGCACGCGGCGUUGCUGCAUCAGGCUUCCGCCCAUUGUGCAAUAUUCCCCACUGCUGCCUCCCGUAGGAGUCUGGGCCGUAUCUCAGUCCCAAUGUGGCCGGUCACCCUCUCAGGCCGGCUACCCGUCAAAGCCUUGGUAAGCCACUACCCCACCAACAAGCUGAUAAGCCGCGAGUCCAUCCCCAACCGCCGAAACUUUCCAACCCCCACCAUGCAGCAGGAGCUCCUAUCCGGUAUUAGCCCCAGUUUCCUGAAGUUAUCCCAAAGUCAAGGGCAGGUUACUCACGUGUUACUCACCCGUUCGCCACUCGAGCACCCCACAAAAGCAGGGCCUUUCCGUUCGACUUGCAUGUGUUAAGCACGCCGCCAGCGUUCGUCCUGAGCCAGGAUCAAACUCU